AUUAGAAUAUUAAAAUUUAGUAGUAAGUGGAUUUCAUGAAACUAAAAUUAAUUGGCGGCAACUUAAAUUUUUUAGAGGAAUUUAUUCUGUAAAGGAUUUAACCCCAAAAUCUUACUUUUUUUAGUGUCACAGUUUGUAUAUCUCUAUUUAUAAAUAUGGUUACAUAUUUUAAUAACCUAUAUUAGUUAUAUUUUAGGUAAAGGUGCAGCUUAUAAUAAAGAUUGAAAUAAAUUAUAUUAAUAUAUAUUUAACAAUAUCUUUUUUGUAAUUAAGAGAAAUAGAAAAAUUUAAAAGUAAAUUUAGUAGAUUAUUCUAAAUUGAAUUAUUUUUAAUUGUGUACAUAUUGCCCGUCACUCUCUUUUAAGAG
rnacentral:rRNA from 1 species